CCUACGGGCGGCAGCAGUGGGGAAUAUUGGACAAUGGGGGGAACCCUGAUCCAGCCAUGCCGCGUGUGUGAAGAAGGCCCUCGGGUUGUAAAGCACUUUCAGUGAGGAAGAACGCCUGGUGGUUAAUACCCAUCAGGAAAGACAUCACUCACAGAAGAAGCACCGGCUAACUCCGUGCCAGCAGCCGCGGUAAUACGGAGGGUGCGAGCGUUAAUCGGAAUUACUGGGCGUAAAGCGCGCGUAGGUGGCUUGAUAAGCCGGUUGUGAAAGCCCCGGGCUCAACCUGGGAACGGCAUCCGGAACUGUCAAGCUAGAGUGAAGGAGAGGAAGGUAGAAUUCCCGGUGUAGCGGUGAAAUGCGUAGAGAUCGGGAGGAAUACCAGUGGCGAAGGCGGCCUUCUGGACUGACACUGACACUGAGGUGCGAAAGCGUGGGUAGCAAACAGGAUUAGAUACCCUUGUAGUC
rnacentral:rRNA from 1 species